GAAACAUAAACUGCGGGACAGCGUUUAAUUGGUUAUUGCAUGAGCUUGUGACGUCAGAAGAGAUGUGGUGCCUGGAGACGGUCGACCUGGUCAGUGGUCGGCGGGAAGGCGCCGGAGAAGGACGUGGUCGUCACCUCUACGCUGGAGAAUACUUUAUCUUCACUGAAGUUAAGCUUGGCGACGUUCUACAUUAUUCCGGUUGUGGAAGGUCCCUACAACAGUCUGGUCAGAAGGAACUUCUUUUACUGAAAGAUUAUGAAUUGCUUGGAAAGUGACUCCUUCCUUCAGUUGGGUGUUAAUGACUUCAAAUACAGAAUCAGGUGGCAAUGAAGGUUACAAGAACACGGCAGUGAAGAUGUUCUACACUGCAAAUCUACUGGAUGUUGGUGCUUCUCCUUGGUACUGGACUUUACUCCCACUGGAUUCUUCAGUGCUGGCAUUGAGCAUCACAACCUGAAAGAUUAAAUUAAAUAUUGGAAGAUGUAUACACCUAAUACUUUAAUAAAUCUAUUAAUGAAAG